CGGACGGGUGAGUAACGCGUGGGUAACCUGCCUUGUACUGGGGGACAACAGUUGGAAACGACUGCUAAUACCGCAUAAGCGCACAGCUUCGCAUGGAGCAGUGUGAAAAACUCCGGUGGUACAAGAUGGACCCGCGUCUGAUUAGCUGGUUGGUGAGGUAACGGCCCACCAAGGCAACGAUCAGUAGCCGGCCUGAGAGGGUGAACGGCCACAUUGGGACUGAGACACGGCCCAA
rnacentral:rRNA from 1 species